AUUGAACGCUGGCGGCAGGCCUAACACAUGCAAGUCGAACGAGUGGCGGACGGGUGAGUAAUGUCUGGGAAACUGCCUGAUGGAGGGGGAUAACUACUGGAAACGGUCGCUAAUACCGCAUACCAACGGCUGUGACCAAAUGGGAUUAGCUAGUAGGUGGGGUAAAGGCUCACCGAGGCGACGAUCCCUAGCUGGUCUGAGAGGAUGACCAGCCACACGGGAACGGAGACACGUUCCAGACUCCUACGGUGGGCAGCAGGGGGGAAUAUUGCACAAUGGGCGCAAGCCUGAUGCAGCCAUGCCGCGUGUAUGAAGAAGGCCUUCGGGUUGUAAAGUACUUUCAGCGGGGAGGCGUUACCCGCAGAAGAAGCACCGGCUAACUCCGUGCCAGCAGCCGCGUAAUAC
rnacentral:rRNA from 1 species